rnacentral:rRNA from 1 species
UGGGGAAUUUUGGACAAUGGGCGCAAGCCUGAUCCAGCCAUGCCGCGUGGGUGAAGAAGGCCUUCGGGUUGUAAAGCCCUUUCGGCUGGGACGAAAAGGUCCGUGCUAACACCACGGAUCCAUGACGGUACCAGCAGAAGAAGCACCGGCUAACUACGUGCCAGCAGCCGCGGUAAUACGUAGGGUGCAGGCGUUAAUCGGAAUUACUGGGCGUAAAGCGUGCGCAGGCGGUCUGCUAAGAGAGGUGUGAAAUCCCCGGGCUUAACCUGGGAACUGCGCUUCUAACUGGCAGGCUUGAGUGUGGCAGAGGGGGGUGGAAUUCCACGUGUAGCAGUGAAAUGCGUAGAGAUGUGGAGGAACACCGAUGGCGAAGGCAGCCCCCUGGGCUAACACUGACGCUCAUGCACGAAAGCGUGGGGAGCAAACAGGAUUAGAUACCCUGGUAGUCCACGCCCUAAACUAUGUCAACUGGUUGUCGGGGAAGCAAUUCCUUGGUAACGAAGCUAACGCGUGAAGUUGACCGCCUGGGGAGUACGGCCGCAAGGUUAA